rnacentral:lncRNA from 1 species
CGCGGAGCCCAUGUCCGGCGACUGGCUGCGCCCCUUGUAGUGUCGGUUCGGUCGCCGGCCAGGUAGAAUACAACAUGGGACACUAGCUGGUUCACAAGAGUCUCGCUCCUGACAUCUUCCAUGCCAUAGUCUUCCUCGUCGGAGCCCAUACCCGGACGGUGCUGUGGACGUGAGAUCGAUGAUGGACCUCUUCUGGGAGGAGCCGACGUCCACCACGAGGCGAUUGCGGCGCCCACACUAGUCCAUCAUGCGGGUCGCCAUGGAGUGUGACUCUGCCUCUCUAACAUCCAUCGCCGUGAGGGCCUCUGCCGCCUCCCACGCCCGCUGCCUCGCACGGCGGACACAUUGCACCAUGUUUGAGUCUGCAGACGCUCAUGGUGCGUCCCCGACGCGUCGACUAAGGGGUUGGUUGCGUGUCCGCCACAAGUUCACACGCCGGACGGGCGGUGCCGUCUCCGGUGAGGCAGCGAUGCCGGAUCCAUGCACCAGUUGUGCGGAUGCACAAGAUUCCAGUUGUUGUGAGUCGGAGCACUGUCGUCGGGCGGCCGUCUCCCGAGAGCGAUGGAGUGCAAGUCGAACGACCAUCUCCUCCUGAGGCUGCAUGGAAUGAGCUCGUGGUCUUCGGUUAUGUAAGUAAAGGACUCAUAUCCGUUGUCCGUCAUGUGGGAAAAGAUAUGAGACGGGUUUGGAGUGUCCGGUUGUGUAUGCUCUUAGAUGGGGUUGGUGUAAUCUGUGCCGAAGGUAGGAGAUGAACUCAUGCACACAAGAUAGAAGAGAAGUACACGGGAGUUUUUGGCACCGCACAACUUGUG